rnacentral:rRNA from 1 species
UGUAGUCUCGCACAGAUGCAUAUCAAUAAGCGGAGGAAAAGAAACUAACAAGGAUUCCCCUAGUAACGGCGAGUGAAGCGGGAAGAGCUCAAAUUUGAAAUCUUAAAGGGUUUCCCUUUACGAAUUGUAGUUUAAAGAAGUGUUUUCUGUUGAGGUUUUGGUAAAAGUUCUUUGGAAUAGGACAUCAUAGAGGGUGAGAAUCCCGUAUUUGACCUUUACUUUCAACUUUGUGAUACACUUUCAAAGAGUCGGAUUGUUUGGGAAUGCAGUCCAAAAUGGGUGGUAAAUUUCAUCUAAAGCUAAAUAUUGGCGAGAGACCGAUAGCGAACAAGUACCGUGAGGGAAAGAUGAAAAGAACUUUGAAAAGAGAGUUAAACAGUACGUGAAAUUGUCAAAAGGGAAGCGUUUGACACCAGUGUUGUUUUUCUGAAAAUCAAUUAAAGAACUGUUUAUGCUAAGUUGUUUAGACUUUAUCAGCUAUCUGUUUAGUUUUGAGCCUUUCUUUAAUGCACUUUUCAGUUAACAAGUCAACAUCAAUUUCUUUUGCUGUAAAAAAGCUUGAGGAAGGUGGCUUGAGAUUCGUCUUAAGUGUUUAUAGCCUCUUGCCUAUGCAGUCGGAGAGAUUGAGGUCUGCAGCGUAGAUCCUUCGGGGCUAAAUGCAUUUGUGCUAAGUUAUAGCAUUUUAUAGACAACUUGUUGACUAUGAUUUGUCUUGUAGCUUACUCGCUUAUGUUAUUUUACCUACGCUUAGGAUGUUGAUGUGAUACUGCGAGCA